UAUUAAGGGACGACGAUUGAUAAUCUAAUGAAAGAAUGCGAAAUAAAACUGAGUCCUGUCCAUGUUCCUGAAGAAAAUACAACAAAUAUGAUUAAUAUCUACAUAACAUACAUGGUGAAAGUCGGUGUUCGAAAGUAAUAUGGACAAACGCUUUUCAAAGCCCAAAGGACCAGCAUUCAUGAAUGCGUUUAGAGUGCAAGGCCCGAUUCACGGGGAAAAUAGCUGUUUAGGAAGACAUUAUUGUGCAAUUGUUGUGACUCUUAUAAUAGUUGUUAUAAUUGGUACAAUUGUAUGUUUUGUUAUAGUUAUGAUGCGAUGAGUGAGAUUAAUUAAAAAUGACAAUAUUUUGAUUUUCUUA